ACGCAGCUCAGAUGCUGUGAUCCUCGAGGCGCGCUAUCGUGCGGCUCGCCCAAGCCUCGGGGGGAGCGAAUCGCGAAACCGGCUGAGUGGGAC
rfam:Gemmatimonadetes bacterium 13_1_40CM_69_22 13_1_40cm_scaffold_214, whole genome shotgun sequence.